GGUUAAGCGACUAAGCGUACACGGUGGAUGCCCUGGCAGUCAGAGGCGAUGAAGGACGUGCUAAUCUGCGAUAAGCGUCGGUAAGGUGAUAUGAACCGUUAUAACCGGCGAUUUCCGAAUGGGGAAACCCAGUGUGAUUCGUCACACUAUCAUUAACUGAAUCCAUAGGUUAAUGAGGCGAACCGGGGGAACUGAAACAUCUAAGUACCCCGAGGAAAAGAAAUCAACCGAGAUUCCCCCAGUAGCGGCGAGCGAACGGGGAGCAGCCCAGAGCCUGAAUCAGUGUGUGUGUUAGUGGAAGCGUCUGGAAAGGCGUGCGAUACAGGGUGACAGCCCCGUACACAAAAAUGCACAUGCUGUGAGCUCGAUGAGUAGGGCGGGACACGUGGUAUCCUGUCUGAAUAUGGGGGGACCAUCCUCCAAGGCUAAAUACUCCUGACUGACCGAUAGUGAACCAGUACCGUGAGGGAAAGGCGAAAAGAACCCCGGCGAGGGGAGUGAAAAAGAACCUGAAACCGUGUACGUACAAGCAGUGGGAGCACGCUUAGGCGUGUGACUGCGUACCUUUUGUAUAAUGGGUCAGCGACUUAUAUUCUGUAGCAAGGUUAACCGAAUAGGGGAGCCGAAGGGAAACCGAGUCUUAACUGGGCGUUAAGUUGCAGGGUAUAGACCCGAAACCCGGUGAUCUAGCCAUGGGCAGGUUGAAGGUUGGGUAACACUAACUGGAGGACCGAACCGACUAAUGUUGAAAAAUUAGCGGAUGACUUGUGGCUGGGGGUGAAAGGCCAAUCAAACCGGGAGAUAGCUGGUUCUCCCCGAAAGCUAUUUAGGUAGCGCCUCGUGAAUUCAUCUCCGGGGGUAGAGCACUGUUUCGGCAAGGGGGUCAUCCCGACUUACCAACCCGAUGCAAACUGCGAAUACCGGAGAAUGUUAUCACGGGAGACACACGGCGGGUGCUAACGUCCGUCGUGAAGAGGGAAACAACCCAGACCGCCAGCUAAGGUCCCAAAGUCAUGGUUAAGUGGGAAACGAUGUGGGAAGGCCCAGACAGCCAGGAUGUUGGCUUAGAAGCAGCCAUCAUUUAAAGAAAGCGUAAUAGCUCACUGGUCGAGUCGGCCUGCGCGGAAGAUGUAACGGGGCUAAACCAUGCACCGAAGCUGCGGCAGCGACGCUGAUGCGUUGUUGGGUAGGGGAGCGUUCUGUAAGCCUGCGAAGGUGUGCUGUGAGGCAUGCUGGAGGUAUCAGAAGUGCGAAUGCUGACAUAAGUAACGAUAAAGCGGGUGAAAAGCCCGCUCGCCGGAAGACCAAGGGUUCCUGUCCAACGUUAAUCGGGGCAGGGUGAGUCGACCCCUAAGGCGAGGCCGAAAGGCGUAGUCGAUGGGAAACAGGUUAAUAUUCCUGUACUUGGUGUUACUGCGAAGGGGGGACGGAGAAGGCUAUGUUGGCCGGGCGACGGUUGUCCCGGUUUAAGCGUGUAGGCUGGUUUUCCAGGCAAAUCCGGAAAAUCAAGGCUGAGGCGUGAUGACGAGGCACUACGGUGCUGAAGCAACAAAUGCCCUGCUUCCAGGAAAAGCCUCUAAGCAUCAGGUAACAUCAAAUCGUACCCCAAACCGACACAGGUGGUCAGGUAGAGAAUACCAAGGCGCUUGAGAGAACUCGGGUGAAGGAACUAGGCAAAAUGGUGCCGUAACUUCGGGAGAAGGCACGCUGAUAUGUAGGUGAAGCGACUUGCUCGUGGAGCUGAAAUCAGUCGAAGAUACCAGCUGGCUGCAACUGUUUAUUAAAAACACAGCACUGUGCAAACACGAAAGUGGACGUAUACGGUGUGACGCCUGCCCGGUGCCGGAAGGUUAAUUGAUGGGGUCAGCGCAAGCGAAGCUCUUGAUCGAAGCCCCGGUAAACGGCGGCCGUAACUAUAACGGUCCUAAGGUAGCGAAAUUCCUUGUCGGGUAAGUUCCGACCUGCACGAAUGGCGUAAUGAUGGCCAGGCUGUCUCCACCCGAGACUCAGUGAAAUUGAACUCGCUGUGAAGAUGCAGUGUACCCGCGGCAAGACGGAAAGACCCCGUGAACCUUUACUAUAGCUUGACACUGAACAUUGAGCCUUGAUGUGUAGGAUAGGUGGGAGGCUUUGAAGUGUGGACGCCAGUCUGCAUGGAGCCGACCUUGAAAUACCACCCUUUAAUGUUUGAUGUUCUAACG
rnacentral:rRNA from 1 species